AACAUGUCCUUUUGUUAUUUAUAUAAGGUCUAGCCUGCCCAAUGAAUUAUUCAAUGGCCGCGGUAUUUUAACCGUGCUAAGGUAGCGUAAUCAUUUGUCUUUUAAUUAAGGGCUGGAAUGAAAGGUUGGACGAGGUAUUAGCUUUCUUUAAUUCAAUUAAUUGAAUUUAAUUUUUAAGUUAAAAAGCUUAAAUUUAUUUGUUGGACGAGAAGACCCUAUAGAUCUUUACAUUUAUAAUUAUUGUAAUAUUUAGGGAUUAAUUCUUUAUAAUUAUUAAAGAUGUUUGGUUGGGGUGACUAUAGAAUAAUAAUAACUUCUUUAUAUUUUUAUCGUUGAUUUUCGUUUGUGUGAUCCAUUAUUAGUGAUUAAAAGAUUAAGUUACCUUAGGGAUAACAGCGUAAUUUUUUCGGAGAGUUCAUAUCGAUGAAGGAGUUUGCGACCUCGAUGUUGGAUUAAAAUAAGUUCUGAGUGCAGCAGUUCAGGGGCUGGGUCUGUUCGACCUUUAAUUUUUUACAUGAUCU
rnacentral:rRNA from 1 species